GCUGGAGUCGCCAGGGCUGACACCAAGCCGACAGGUGGGCCGAGCUGAGGUGGCAUCUGGGGUCCGGGACCCCAAAUCCUGAGCUCACUGUGCGAGGCUCGAGUGACCAGCCACCGGAAUUUCAAAUGUUGGGCAAAUCAGGUUCUCUGUACUCUUGGCUUCCCUGGGGAGCGCACGUCUUUUGGGGACACUCAGGUCCUGUGGGCGCACAGCUCUCCAGUCCGCCUCCAGUGGGCGCAGUGGCCGCAGUUGGAGCAAGCCGCCGCUCCUGACGUUGAUGUGUCCAUCCGGAAGGAACUGCUUUUCCUCUUAGGAUAGAGGUGCUGUGGAUGCUUUAAAUGCGGAACGUGGUGCUCCUAGUCGUCCCUCGGGAUUAAAAUUCAGCUCACUCCUAAAUUUAACAUCUAGUCCGUGCUUUGCUGCUGAGUUGUAGAGGUGAAGAUGAUUGUUGUCCUAAAGCAACAGAGUCUAGAAGAGGAAACGUGAAUAAACAAUCGCCGUGCACCCAAAAUAUGAUAGAUGCCAAUGUGGAGACUAGACAGGAGAACUGGACAUUCGCUGUAGGAACAUGAUGAGGUUACAGAAUAACUACAAAGGUUUAAAAAGGCAAGGAGCUUCAAAGAAGCCUGAGAAGCCAAAACUGGAUGCAAGAGUCUCUGUAUUGACAGGAUAAUGAACCAGAAGAAGCAGAGCUGCAGGGAAGAAGCUGCUCCAUCAGAAGAGGGUGUCAGAUCCCCUGGAACUGGAGUUGCGGAUGACUGUCAGCCGUCAUAUGGGCACUGGAAUUUGAACCUUGGUCCUCUGCAAGAGCAGCCAGCGCACUUAAUCACUGAGCAAUAUCUCCCAGCCCAAGCCUAAGCUUAAGAAAUAAGGAAAUACAAUAAGUUGUAGGCUUUUACUUCACUUAAACUUAAUGCACUUCUUCUCUAGACCCUCCAGCUGUUAGGCAGAACCCAGAUUAUGUUCCCAGUUCUGGCUGAGUCCAUCCGUGUGAACAAUUCCUCCAUGCUCACAUCAAGGGCAGCAUGUGUCAAAUAGAAGUAUCACAUGAAAAUAUUGCGAACGUUAAACACAUAUAAGUUCAGGGAUUGGUCUCAAGAAGAAAGUAGUCCACUCCCAAGCUGGUUGUUCAGUUUCCUCUUCCUCCAUAGCACUUAUUCAUACUAAAUUUAUAGUUGUAUGUUUUUUUUUCUUUGUAGAUACUUGCAAUCUGUGUUACAGUGAGAUACAGAAAAUACAUUAGUUUCUUGCAGUUGUAGUCUGGACUGAAGACCCCUGCAGGCGUUUAUAGAGAUGUUUAAACAGGUUGUUUAUCUCCUAACACCACACUGCACUGUGGAGUUCUACUGCGUCAGUAACUUAGCAUAUGGCAACUUAAGUGCCAAGGCAUAAAUGAGCUUCAGUGUUUUGGAGAAGCUGCUCAGAGCUGGGAUGGCCUCAGUGUAACCACACAGUCUGUUUAUUUCCCUGGUUUACUCAUACAACCCCACUGUGGAAAAAAGUGAACUUGGGUGUCUGCUAUUGCAAUUCUAAGUUAGUGAACAAAAUAUUUCAUGUAACGUACUCUUGUUUUGUACACACAAAGGCAACAACAAAAUUACUGGUAAAUGAAAUAGAGGAUCUCUCUCUUUACUGAGUUUAAGUCAAAGUGAGGGCUUCUUGGACCAUCAAAAAAUAUUUCUUGCAUACCUACUCAGUGAGAGGUGUGAUGGGGAUGCAGUGCUGCUGUCAGGGUUUCUGGCCUGUCCUCCUGUGGGCAGGUUUCUGUUGGAACAGACUUUCCUUCUGAGCUGGGUUGCCCAACUGUUGUUUAUUUUCAAUAUGUGAAAAGUCAUUCUUACUAUUCUUUUGUGUUUUCCACAUUUCUGUUAGUAUCCACUUUAUGACCAUAGAAUUAUCCUCAUCUGUUUUUUGCCUUCCAGCUAUCAAGUAUUACUAGAUUUUUCUUACAAUAUUUUUUAUUACUUUUUUGCUCUAAUUCCAGAAAUUCUUUGUCUCCAUUUUUCAAAAGUUUGAGACAGGGUAGCUCUGUGUCAUUCCGGCUGACCCAUAACUUACUAUGUAGACCAGGCUUGCCUCCAAAUCAAAGCUCUACCUGCCUCUGCCUCCCAAGUGCUGAGACUAAAGACAUGCGCUACACUCUGGUUCUGGCUACAAUUUUGUAUUUUUCAUGCCUGUUUCAUUGCAGUAAAUCAAACAUUUCCAGUCAUAUUGCUUUUCCUCAGAAACUUUUCUGUAUGGGUCACCUACCUGGUCAAUCCUUUCCCUGUGAACUGGACAGAUUCGUUUUCCCUGAAGACUAUUUUUCUGUUACAGGUUGUAGGGGGUCAAGGCACAUCUCCACCUAAUCCCCCUGCAGUAGUCUAAACAGUCCUCUUUCCUGUUAGGGAUCUCCAUUUGGGAACAACCAGGAUACAAGUCUUCUCCACAGAAAAGGAUUUCAGGAUGAGCCAGUAUGAAGCAGAGUUUAUUUAUGACAUUAAAAUAUUUUGACUUAUAUUUUUAUUUUAUGUAUAUGAGUGUUUUGCAUGUAUGUAUGUAAGUGUACCACAUGUGUACAAUACCCUGAGAGGCUAGAAGAGAGGAUCAGAUCCCCUGGACCUGGACUACCUGCCUUGGGAUGCUGGGAACUAAAUGAACCUUUGUCCUCUAGAAGAGCUGUAGUACUCUAAACUACUGAGCCCUGUCUCCAAUCCCAGCAUAUUCUCUAAACAAAUUUUCUUUAAUAAAU